AUACGUAGGGGGCGAGCGUUGUCCGGAAUGAUUGGGCGUAAAGGGCGCGUAGGCGGCCCGGUAAGUCUGGAGUGAAAGUCCUGUUUUUAAGAUGGGAAUUGCUUUGGAUACUGUCGGGCUUGAGUGCAGGAGAGGGAAGUGGAAUUCCCAGUGUAGCGGUGAAAUGCGUAGAGCUUGGGAGGAACACCAGUGGCGAAGGCGACUUACUGGACUGUAACUGACGCUGAGGCGCGAAAGUGUGGGGAGCAAACAGGAUUAGAUACCCUGGUAGUCCACACUGUAAACGAUGAAUGCUAGGUGUAAGAGGUAUCGACCCCUUUUGUGCCGGAGUCAACACAAUAAGCAUUCCGCCUGGGGAGUACGGCCGCAAGGUUGAAACUCAAAUGAAUUGGCGGGG
rnacentral:rRNA from 1 species